UACGUAGGGGGCAAGCGUUGUCCGGAUUUAUUGGGCGUAAAGAGCGUGUAGGCGGUUAGGUAGGUCCGUUGUGAAAACUCGAGGCUCAACCUCGAGACGCCGAUGGAAACCAUCUAACUAGAGUCCGGAAGAGGAGAGUGGAAUUCCUGGUGUAGCGGUGAAAUGCGCAGAUAUCAGGAGGAACACCGAUGGCGAAGGCAGGUCUCUGGGCUGACACUGACGCUCAUGCACGAAAGCGUGGGGAGCAAACAGG
rnacentral:rRNA from 1 species